rnacentral:rRNA from 1 species
UAGAGGUUUGACGUCCUGGCUACAGGACGAACGCUGGCGGCGUGCUUAACACACGCAAGUCGACGAUGAAGCCUAGCUUGCUAGGUGGAUUAGUGGCGAACGGGUGAGUAAUACGUGAGUAACCUACCUUUAACUCUGGGAUAAGCCUGGGAAACUGGGUCUAAUACCGGAUACGACCAAUCUCCGCAUGGGGUGUUGGUGGAAAGCGUUAUGUAGCGGUUAUAGAUGGGCUCACGGCCUAUCAGCUUGUUGGUGAGGUAACGGCUCACCAAGGCGACGACGGGUAGCCGGCCUGAGAGGGUGACCGGCCACACUGGGACUGAGACACGGCCCAGACUCCUACGGGAGGCAGCAGUGGGGAAUAUUGCACAAUGGGCGCAAGCCUGAUGCAGCGACGCCGCGUGAGGGAUGACGGCCUUCGGGUUGUAAACCUCUGUUAGCAGGGAAGAAGAGAGAUUGACGGUACCUGCAGAGAAAGCGCCGGCUAACUACAUG